rnacentral:lncRNA from 1 species
GCAGGUCCUGUCUGGAAUUCAGUUGUAUUGGCGAGUAGGAAUCUGUACAAGGCUAAGCAGACUGGUUCCGUCUCUAGGGAAGAGUAUAAGCUUUGAAAAUCAUACAUUACGAUUAAACCAUUAUCUUCUCAAGCUAUUUCUUUUAGUCUCCGUAAUGCUUGAGUUGUGAUGGUGGUUGACUUAUCGGUUUGCCCAAGUAAGGUCAUUGCCCAGGAUGCUAUUUUCUUUUCCAGGCCGUAUGAAGGGUAUGACACACAAGUCAUACUUCACAGUGUUCGGGAACUUUUAUUUACAAAGAAAAGAGGUACCAAUAGGGAGCCCGAUGGCCCCUCCUCUCGCCGAAUUGGUCUUAAGAGAAGCAGAAGAAAAAGUUCUAGGAAAUAUCUGGAAUGAAAUUAAAGUUUUAC